GUCGGGAUAGCUCAGUUGGUACAGCAGAGGACUGAAAAUCCUCGUGUC
rnacentral:tRNA from 1 species